AAGGUUGACUUGAGCAGUCUUUGCACAAAACCAACAUGACAAGAAUUCUUCAUAAGUCAUAGGACGCCGUGGUUUUUGGUGGUGAUUCUCUACUAACGUUUCCCUCUUUGGAAGUUCAACUAAACUCUAUUUUAUUGAUUUUUUUCACCAUCCUUCUUAUAGUUAGUUGCUCGGAUAACUAUUUUCAUAGAAUCGUCUUCUUGCAUCUUUACCUAGUAACUAGAGUCCAACCUUCAUCCAUCUAAAACUUGUCAUGCCCCA
rnacentral:lncRNA from 1 species